GCUUCUUAAAACAUGUGUGAAUAUGUGUAUAUUAUACAAAGAGUCUUAUAUUGUCUGCUCUGACAAAAAUAAAGUAUUAUUUUAGGUUUAGGGGAAUUGACUGCGUGUGUCUUAUAAAUACAACUUGAUAAUAUGUUUGUUUUGUAAAGAGACUUCUUUAAAGUCACGCAAUAAUAAAAUAUUUUAGUUGUAACUGGUUAAACUUAAAGCCGAUAUUUUCUAUCGAACUAGUCUAUUUUCUGUUCAGACACAAAGUUUUCUGAUGCUGAUAUUAAGUCAGUGUGUGUUUGUGUGGGGGUCGUGUGAUGUAAUCUUUGAAAGUUUAUGACCGAACCUUUAUUGGGGAGCGACAAGAGAUCUCCCGGAAUCAGUUUGGAUGGAGCAGAGCUGUUAUACUCAAGUCUAUUGGUAUGUAUGUGUUUCGCUGUGUUCGUUCCAGUAUUUUGUCUGAUUUAUUUAAAAACUAAAAAUUCGAUCUCUGGUAUUGCAGCGAAAUUGUCUAAACUGGUAUUAACUAUUCCUGGUAAAUCGCGGAGAAGAGUGGCCUGAACAAAAAAGUCAGACCGAGACUAGAACCUCCCGCAGCGUAACACGGAAAUCUUGGAACAAAAGAGACGCCGACUGGCUCGUGUUGUCCGGUUUGGAUAUCAGAGGCAAAGCGAACGUUGUGUGUACUAUUGCAAAAUAUAUAGCGGAUCUCCACGGUUAGGAUACAGACCACAACGCUUUGGAUGUAUCUUUAAAAAAGAUUAAAAUCAGAGACUUUUUGGAUUUGUCUGGGGACAUUUUAAACAUUUUGUGGCAAAUUGGAUUUAAAACAUUUCGGAUACUGGAUACCUAGUUUGAUUUGUCCACAGAGCUUGUUUAAGACGUUUUCACCGCAUUUUAGGGUUUAUUUUUAAUUAAAGGCUUCUUAAAACAUGUGUGAAAAUGUGUAUAUUAUACAAUGAGUCUUAUAUUGUCUGCUCUGACAAAAAUAAAUUAUUAUUUUAGAUUUUA